ACCCCAUAGCAAAUUUAUGCGUUGAAUUUAAGCUUCAAAUAUAGGUAAUCCUUGAGGUA
rnacentral:tRNA from 1 species